UCUACGGGGGGCAGCAGUGAGGAAUAUUGGUCAAUGGACGAGAGUCUGAACCAGCAAAGUAGCGUGAAGGAUGAAUGCCCUAUGGGUUGUAAACUUCUUUUAUAUGGGAACAAAACAGGGUAUGCAUACCCUCUUGUAUGUACCAUAUGAAUAAGGAUCGGCUAACUACGUGCCAGCAGCCGCGGUAAUACGGAGGAUCCGAGCGUUAUCCGGAUUUACUGGGUUUAACGGGAGCGUAGGUUGAUUGUUAAGUCAGUUGUGAAACUUUGCGGCUCAAACGUAAAAUUGCAAUUGAUACUGGCAGUGUUGAGUACAGUUGAGGUAGGCGGAAUUCGUGGUGUAGCGGUGAAAUGCUUAGAUAUCACGAAGAACUCCGAUUGCGAAGGCAGCUUACUAAACUGCCACUGACAUUGAUGCUCGAAAGUGUGGGUAUCAAACAGGAUUAGAUACCCUGGUAGUC
rnacentral:rRNA from 1 species